AUACGGAGGGUCCGAACGUUAAUCGGAAUUACUGGGCGUAAAGCGCACGUAGGCGGUUUGGUAAGUUGGAGGUGAAAUCCCGGGGCUCAACCCCGGAACUGCCUUCAAAACUGCCAGACUCGAGUCCGGGAGAGGGAAGCGGAACUCCUAGUGUAGAGGUGAAAUUCGUAGAUAUUGGGAAGAACACCAGUGGCGAAGGCGGCUACCUGGACCGAUACUGACGCUGAGGCGCGAAAGCGUGGGGAGCAAACAGGAUUAGAAACCCCAGUAGUCC
rnacentral:rRNA from 1 species